GACGAACGCUGGCGGCGUGCUUAACACAUGCAAGUCGAACGGAAAGGCCCUGCUUUUGUGGGGUGCUCGAGUGGCGAACGGGUGAGUAACACGUGAGUAACCUGCCCUUGACUUUGGGAUAACUUCAGGAAACUGGGGCUAAUACCGGAUAGGAUCUCCUGCUGCAUGGUGGGGGUUGGAAAGUUUCGGCGGUUGGGGAUGGACUCGCGGGUUAUCAGCUUGUUUGUGGGGUAGUGGCUUACCAAGGCUUUGACGGGUAGCCUGCCUGAGAGGGUGACCGGCCACAUUGGGACUGAGAUACGGCCCAGAAUCCUACGGGAGGCAGCAGUGGGGAAUAUUGCACAAUGGGCGGAAGCCUGAUGCAGCAACGCCGCGUGCGGGAUGACGGCCUUCGGGUUGUAAACCGCUUUCGCCUGUGACGAGGCGGGAGUGACGGUAAUGGGUAAAGAAGCAACGGCUAACUACGUG
rnacentral:rRNA from 1 species